rnacentral:rRNA from 1 species
UACGUAGGGUGCAAGCGUUGUCCGGAAUUAUUGGGCGUAAAGAGCUCGUAGGCGGUCUGUCACGUCGGCUGUGAAAACCCGAGGCUCAACCUCGGGCCUGCAGUCGAUACGGGCAAACUAGAGUACUGCAGGGGGAGACUGGAAUUCCUGGUGUAGCGGUGAAAUGCGCAGAUAUCAGGAGGAACACCGGUGGGCGAAGGCGGGGUCUCUGGGGCAUUAACUGACGUGAGGAGCGAAAAGCAUGGGGGAGCGAACAGG